GACGAACGCUGGCGGCGUGCCUAAUACAUGCAAGUCGAACGAGAGCGACCGGUGCUUGCACUGGUCAAUCUAGUGGCGAACGGGUGAGUAACACGUGGGUAACCUGCCCAUCAGAGGGGGAUAACAUUCGGAAACGGAUGCUAAAACCGCAUAGGUCCUUUAACCGCAUGGUUGAAGGAGGAAAAGAGGCGCAAGCUUCUGCUGAUGGAUGGACCCGCGGUGCAUUAGCUAGUUGGUGAGGUAACGGCUCACCAAGGCCGUGAUGCAUAGCCGACCUGAGAGGGUGAUCGGCCACAUUGGGACUGAGACACGGCCCAAACUCCUACGGGAGGCAGCAGUAGGGAAUCUUCCGCAAUGGCACGCAAGUCUGACGGAGCACACGCCGCGUGAGUGAAGAAGGUUUUCGGAUCGUAAAACUCUGUCGUUAGAGAAGACACAAGUGUCUAGAGUAACUGUUAGUCGCCUUGACGGCUAUCUCAACCAGAAA
rnacentral:rRNA from 1 species